rnacentral:rRNA from 1 species
CCCGGCCCGGGCCGGAACCCGGGCCGGCCAACCGGGGUUCGGAAGGUAAACAACCGUUAAUUGCCGUAAACCCUUGGGCCCGGUUAGACAGAUGGAUAACCGGGAGAAAUCCCGCCUAAUACAACAUAAUGCCGGGAGGGGACAUCCCCUGCCGGCCAAAGGGGCGACCCCGGUCACGGAUGGGCAUGCGGCGCAUUAGGUAGUUGGUGGGGCAACGGCCCACCAAGCCGACGAUGCGUAGGGGUUCUGAGAGGAAGGUCCCCCCACAUUGGAACUGAGACACGGUCCAAAACUCCUACGGAAGGCAGCAG